rnacentral:rRNA from 1 species
GUACACUUGACGAGGUCGGGAAAAAAUCAAGCUGCCACUUUACAACGAGCAGGAGCUACGCGUUGGGGUUCACAUUUGCGCUCCAUUUCAAGUCUUCUUAAGUUGUUCAAAGCUACCCGAUCAACUAUCGAUGAUUUGUAUUUGAAUGGAGUAGACAAAGUGCAAGGAGAAGUAACGGCAUGGUAAGGCUUUGAAAAAAAUGAAUUGUGUAUCUGUUACAUAUGAUGCCAUGAUAUCAUGACAGAACUAUCGAUUUUUUAUGUCAAGCAUUGCAAAAAAAAAAAAAAAACAAAAAAAAAAAAAAGACAUGACAAGCUGGAAUGUUAUACAUUCUGCUUCAAUUGCAAAACAAAACUUCAAGAUAGAGAGAUACAAGGUUGGGAUCAAUCUAAUCGAGAAAGUAGAGCAUUUUGUGUGGUUGUGAGCAUCAUUUCGAUGUCGACCCGAUAGCCGCUCCUUUACAAGACACAAAUUCUACAAGAGUGUUCAUGAAGGAAGAAUAUCACAGAAUGCAGGGGGAAAGAUGGUGACUAUGGACCUCGAGCGGGGCGAAGCCAGAGGAACUCUCAGUGUGGAGGCCCGGAAGCGAUACUGACGUGCAAAUCGUUCGUUCUGACUUGGUUAUAGGGCGAAGACUAAUGAACGUCUAGUUAGCAUGGUUCCCUCCGAAGUUAUCCCUCAGGAUAGCUGGAGCUCAUUCACGAGUACUACUAUCAGGUAAGCCCAAUUGACUUAGAGGCAUCGGGGGCCAAAGGCCCGUCGACCCAUUCUCAAAACUUUAAGAUGGUAGGCGGGCGGUGCUUCGCUGAGCCGUCCCAAGGAAUCGAGAGCUCCAACGUAAGAGUCUCCAAGUGGGCCAUUUUUGGUAAGCAAGAAGCUGGCGAUGCGGGAUGAACCGGAAGCCGGAGUUACGGUGAGGACCAAAACUGGCGCGCUAACUAGAUCCACAAGAGGGUGUUGGUCGAUUAACGACAAGCAGGACGUGUGGUCAUGGAAGUCGAAAAUCCGCUUUUUAAGAGUGUGUAACAACUCAACCUUGCCGAAUCAACUAACCCCAAAAUAUCGGAAAAGCUGCGACCUAUUACGCCGGCCGUCGGGGCAAGUGCAGGCCCCGAUGGCAGGAGGGACGCGGCGGUCGCCGUAAAACCUGUGCUGAGCCAGGCGGAGCGGCCGUCAGGUUGCAGGAUCUUGUGGUGGUAUAGCAAAUAUUCAAAUGAGGAACUUGAAGGCCGGGAAGAGGGAAAGGUUCCAUGGUGAACGGCACUGCCACAUGGUAGAUCGGAAUCCUAACGGGACGGGGGGAAAAAAAAGCCCGUCUGGAACUAGCGCGUCGACGCUGGUACUCCGAAAGGGAAUUCGGGUUUAAAUUCCUGAACCGGGACACGGCGGUUGAGGCAACGUAUAGGGGAGUCCGGGAGGAGACGUCGGCGGGAGCCUCGGGAAGGUUAUCUUUUCUGUUUAACAGCCUGACCACCCUGGAAUCGAUUUAUUCGGAGGGUAUGUUUUUCCCAAAUCCGGCUGGAAGAGCACCGCACCUUGCGUGAGGUGUGCCGAUGCCGCUUCCCGGCGGCCCUUGAAAAUCCGGAGGGACCGAAUACCGACCUUGCCCGGCGUACUCAUAACGCAUCAGGUCUCCAAGGUGAACAGCCUCUGGCCAAUGGAAACAAUGUAGGCAAGGGAAGUCGCAAAAUGGAUCGUAACUUCGGCGAAAAGAUGGCUCUGAGGGCUGGCACAGGGAGUCUUCAGUUUCAACCCGUUCGCUGCCGGCGGACUGCGCUCGAGCUGCUUCCGUUGGCGAGGAGCGAUCGCCGCGUGCCGUCCGGGGACGGACUGAGAGGGCAUCCCUGGGGCUGUCCGCUGGCGCUGAACAGCCAACUCAGAAUGUACGGACAAGGGGAAUCGGACUGUUUAAUUAAAGACAGAAGCAUUGCGAUCGGUCCUGCGGAUGCUAACGCAAUGUGAUUUCUGUUUCCCAGUGCUCUGAAUGUCAAAGGUGAAGAACAUUCACCAAAGCAGCGGAGUAAAACGGCGGGAGGUUAACGUAUGACUCUCUUAAGGUAGCCAAAUUGCCUCGUCAUCUAAUUAGUGACGCGCAUGAAUGGAUUAACGAGAUCCCACUGUUCCUGUCUACUUAUCCAGCGAAACAACAGCCAAAGGAACGGGCUUGCAGAAUCAGGCGUGAAAGAAGACCCUGUUGAGCUUGGACUCCUAGUCCGACGUUUGUGAAAUGACUUGAGAGGUGGUAGGAUAAGUGGGAGCUUCGCAAAAGUGAAAUACACUACUUUUUAACGUUAUUUUUACUUAUCCGUGAAUCGGAAGCGGGCCAGCCCCUCUUUUUAGACCUGAAGGUCCGCUUGCGGGGCGGAUCCGGGCGGAGGACAUUGUCAGGUAGGGGAGUUUGGGCUGGGGCGGCACAUCUGUUAAAAGAUAACGCAGGUUUUCCUAAGAUGGCUCAACGAAUGAACAGAAUCUCGUGGUGGAACAGAAGGGUAAAGCUCGUUUGAUUCUGAUUUUCAGUACGGAAUACGAACCGUGAAAGCGUGGCCCUAACGACCUUUUAGACCUUCGGAAUUUGAAAGCUAAGGUGUCAGAAAAGUUACCACAGGGAUAACUGGCUUGUGGCAGCCAAGCGGUUUCAUAGCGACGUUGCUUUUUGAUCCUUCGAUGUCGGCUCUUUCCUAUCAUUGUGAAGCAGAAGUUCACCAAGUGUUGGAUUGUUCACCCACAAUAGGGAACGUGAGCUGGUUUAGACCGUCGUGAAGACAGGUUAUUUUACCCUUACUUUGAAUGACAGUGUCGCGAGGUAAUUCAACCUGAUACUUUGAAGAGGAACCGUGUGAUUCACACAAUUGGCAUGCCGCUUUGGUUGAAAAGCAGGUUGCGCGAAGUACCGUGUGCUGGAUUAUGGCUGGACGCCUCUAAGUCAGAAUCCGGGCCCAGGAAGCGAUGCAUACGCCGCCGUCGAUUGCCACCCACAGUUAGGGGCCUCGGCCCCCAAGGGGCCACUGUCGUGGGGCUAAGCCAGGGCAUCGGAUGCGAUGCGGUGGCCGCCUUGAAUUAAUUUUAACCGUCGGCGGGUUGAAUCCUUUGCAGACGACUUAAUACGCGGACGCUGGCUAUUGUAAGUGGCAGAGUGCCUUGCUG